rnacentral:rRNA from 1 species
CUUUCUUUGUUGGCGACCGGCGCACGGGUGAGUAACACGUAUCCAACCUGCCCUUUACUCGGGGAUAGCCUUUCGAAAGAAAGAUUAAUACCCGAUAGCAUAAUGAUUCCGCAUGGUUUCAUUAUUAAAGGAUUCCGGUAAAGGAUGGGGAUGCGUUCCAUUAGGUUGUUGGUGAGGUAACGGCUCACCAAGCCUUCGAUGGAUAGGGGUUCUGAGAGGAAGGUCCCCCACAUUGGAACUGAGACACGGUCCAA